GAUCCAGAAGACCUGUGACAGGAAGUGAAGACACACAGAAAGGUCCCAGAGGGUUACCUGUUGACCCGUGUCCAUCUCAAAAUGGUCCGCAGGCAUCCCAUAAUGCUGUGUUUGGGGGGGAGACGUUCUCCCUGUAAUCAAAGUACUGGGUUCUCUUGGAGACGCUCUCAAAGUCUUUGAGGACAAAGUCACAAAAAGCGAAGAAGAAGAAAUGUGUUGAGCUCUUCUUUGUGUUCAUGACCAUCAUUAAUCUCCAAUCAAAUGCUCCCGUUGAUUUGUAACUCUUCUAAAGGAGCUCUGCCUGGUGUCAUUGAAACUGUGCUAAAGGACUUGGACACCUCGGCAGCACUUGGUCUCUCUGGGAUAUUUUUCGCCAAUAAAAUGUCUAAAAAUAUGAGAAAACAUUGAAGAUUAUGUCGAAAAAAUUCCUCUAAAACUAGUGAGGUCCGUCAAAUGUAUAAAGAAAAAUUGUAUAAUAUUUAAAAAAUUUCAUGAAAAAGAUUAUAGUAUAGUAUGUCAAAUAUGUUGUUUGUAAAUCCUGCACGUUGCACAUUUCACCUCUUUUAAAUUAUUUGAUCAUGUUCUGUUGCUUUGCUGUUCUGUCAUGAAAGGCGCCCUUAAAUGAAAUGUAUUAUGUAUUAUUAUUAUUAAAAUCAGGAAAAAGGUAUAAGUAUAGUCUGUUGAAGUUAUCAUGAAAAGAGUUACCUGGGGAAGUCGACCAAUCACCAUCAUCUCAUCGCUCCACUGAGUCUCAAUGCCUGAAAUACACUGCAUUGCAUCAUGGCAUUGUUAGCAGAAAGUACAUUUCAUGGCGUUGAGUUUUUAAGUGGCAGCCGCUCUUUUUUUGGCGCCCACUCCUCCGGAUGUCCCACUCAUUUUUCCCCGUAGAAAAAGCGAGGCGAGUCAGAGUCGGAGCACUCCUACGGAUCAAAACUCUUCUGGUUGAGUCAUCCGAGCAAACUUAAGAAUAUAGAAAAUAUCAAUUGUGCCAAAAAAUAUCUUCAAAAAAGUUUAUACUUUUCUGAGAUACUGAUUUUGAGGUUUUCAUUAGCUGUAAGCCGUAAUCAUCAAGAUCAAAACAAUUAAAGGCUUGAGAUAUUUCACUUUGUGUGUAAUGAAUCUAUAUAAUAUAUGAGUUUCACUUUUUGAAUUGAAUUAAGGAAAUAAAUGAACUUUUCCACGAUAUUCAAAUGUAUUGAGAUGCACCUGUAUUACAAACACAAGAUGGCAACAUGUCACCGCACCUUUAUUGAUUGAGAUGAUUUUACCUGUGCUAACAUCAACACUGGUAUUGUUUUACAUUUUGAGUCUGUCAACCUGACAAAUGUAACCCUGUGACACUUCUGUCUAAACUACCACAGAGGGGGUUUUAAGAACUUUGCCAGGUGUGUAUAAUGAUACAGACAGAUAUUGUCACUGCAAAAGCAUUGCAACCGUGAAACUAUAAUUGUAUUCCCACUCCUACCACAAGGUGC